rnacentral:rRNA from 1 species
UUUAAUUGAAGAGUUUGAUCAUGGCUCAGAUUGAACGCUGGCGGCAGGCCUAACACAUGCAAGUCGAGCGGCAGCACAGAGAAACUUGUUUCUCGGGUGGCGAG